CUAUUUACAAUACUAGUGAACAUGGUUUAUAAUAGAGUUGCUACUUAGGUAGCUAUGGUGAUAAACGUUGUUUGGAAUAGGGGUUGCGGACCCGGGGGCGGUACCCGGCGCUUCCACCAUUGUGUAGACUCCUUCUAUAGUUAGUAUUUUUGGGAGCGAAGUAGGAUCGACGUGCUUAAUAAAGAAAUAAUUUUUACCCAGUAUGAUACCGCUGUAUAAUGGAUCAAAAAAAGUAAAUGCAAACGAUAACAAAUCGUCUGCGGCUAUUGCUGCUUAAACGUAGCUAGCCACGGGGUUCGGGACUUACCUGGCAACAGAAAAGUCCCACU
rnacentral:tmRNA from 1 species